CUCCCCGGGCCGGUGUCCCAUUGCACAGGCUCCAGAGGCAGGUCUGGGGAAGGCCUGAGUCUCUCUCCCAGGGUGGCCGUGAGCAAGCCAACACCUGAGCCUGUGUCCCCACAGAGACGGUGUGACACCCAGGCGCCCAGUCCAGCAGAGCUACACAGGUCGGUGAGACGGCUCAGCUGGACAGUGAGUGAAACCCAGGUUCGAGCCCAGCCCCUGCCGCACAGGGACAAGCUUCGGGGAUGGGGACUGUCUAUGGGUGCCCUCCCUCUCCCAACUUUUUCCCCAGAGCCCAGCUGAGCUCUAAUUGAUGGUUGUGCCAGGGACUGAACCUUGGGGCCUGGGAGCCUCAGGCAGGGGAGUCCCAGUGCUGUGUCCCAUGCUCUGCAGUUCUCUAUCUGAAGCCCUGGUGAUGACAGAAGAAACCCUCAAGGCCAGUCAAAUCUGUGGACAGCGGGUGCCCAGGGCCCCCCUGCAGACGGCCCCACGUCACCGGGAGAGCAGCGGGCCUGAGCACCCACGGCCCAGACAGCAACAUGGUGGCCCAGCACGUGCGGGCCCGGCAGAGUCCCCAGCAGACGACGGGGCAGCAGGGCCAGGCUCAGGAGGAGCCGCGGGGUGACCGCAGGGCCCGCCGUCCCCGCCCCCGACCCCGCAGGAGGCCCUAUCGCAGCUACUCUGGGGCCCGGCGCCGUGGCCGCCCAGGCAGACGCAGGAGGCUACGCAGGGCCGGGGGGCCACUCCGGCGGCUGCAGAGGAGGGCGGCCAGGGUGUCCUGAAGCCGUGUCCGGAGCAGACGUCACCGCUGAAGCCGCAGGCCCUGCACCCCCUCCAGUGCACGGCCACCCCCAUCAAAAGUCAUGAAAUAAAAUGGGCAAAAGUCAUGAAAAUAAAAGCUCGAUCAGAAACAUCA